CGGGGGCCUCGGCAGAGACGCGGUUUGAUUGACCCCGGAGGGCACAACGGUGCAAUGCGCUCGGAUAGCGGAGAAGUAGUUGCGGGCGACGGUGUGGAACCGGUCUCUUGGAUAAGGCUGUUAUUGGUUCUCAGCUAGGCAGACCCGAUAUUUCGGUAACAGUUUCUGGCGACUCCAGCCGGGACUCUCCUAGCUCGGACAUUGGACUCCGGACAGCUGUAGCAAACUGGGAACAGCACCAACGGGGUGUUUGGCCCCUCUUUCACUGUUUCACCGCGGCCCCUGGGGUUCGUGUUCCGAUAAGGAGGCUACUGUGGAAAAUUUCUGGUGUCUCCACCUCCCAUGCCUUUUUGCUAGCUCCGGAUUCCCCAGUUAAUCUGUUGGGCAGAGAUCUGUUGUGUAAACUGCGUGCUCAGAUUUUCUUUUCAGA